UGGGGAAUAUUGCACAAUGGGCGCAAGCCUGAUGCAGCCAUGCCGCGUGUAUGAAGAAGGCCUUCGGGUUGUAAAGUACUUUCAGCGGGGAGGAAGGUGUUGAGGCUAAUAACCUCAGCAAUUGACGUUACCCGCAGAAGAAGCACCGGCUAACUCCGUGCCAGCAGCCGCGGUAAUACGGAGGGUGCAAGCGUUAAUCGGAAUUACUGGGCGUAAAGCGCACGCAGGCGGUCUGUCAAAUCGGAUGUGAAAUCCCCGGGCUCAACCUGGGAACUGCAUUCGAAACUGGCAGGCUAGAGUCUUGUAGAGGGGGGUAGAAUUCCAGGUGUAGCGGUGAAAUGCGUAGAGAUCUGGAGGAAUACCGGUGGCGAAGGCGGCCCCCUGGACAAAGACUGACGCUCAGGUGCGAAAGCGUGGGGAGCAAACA
rnacentral:rRNA from 1 species